UACGUAGGGUGCGAGCGUUGUCCGGAAUUAUUGGGCGUAAAGGGCUCGUAGGCGGUUUGUCGCGUCGGGAGUGAAAUCCACUGGCUUAACUGGUGGCUUGCUUUCGAUACGGGCAGACUGGAGGUAUGCAGGGGAGAACGGAAUUCCUGGUGUAGCGGUGAAAUGCGCAGAUAUCAGGAGGAACACCGGUGGCGAAGGAGGGUCUCUGGGCCGAUAUCGACGCUGAGGAGCGAAAGCGUGGGGAGCGAACAGG
rnacentral:rRNA from 1 species